GGUGACCCGAACCCUCACCAGAGUAGCAAUUGGAGGGCAAGUCUGGUGCCAGCAGCCGCGGUAAUUCCAGCUCCAAUAGCGUAUAUUAAACUUGUUGCAGUUAAAAAGCUCGUAGUUGUAUUUUUGCGUUGACGGUUUGACCAUUUGGUUGGUUAUUUCGUUUUCGCUUUUGGGAAUUUCCCUUUUUACUUUGAGAAAAUUAGAGUGUAUCAAGCAGACUUUUGUCUUGAAUACUUCAGCAUGGAAUAAUAGAGUAGGACUUUGGUUCUAUUUUGUUGGUUAUUGAACCUUAGUAAUGGUUAAUAGGAACGGUUGGGGGCAUUC
rnacentral:rRNA from 1 species